rnacentral:rRNA from 1 species
CGGGAAUUUUGCGCAAUGGGUGAAAGCCUGACGCAGCAACGCCGCGUGAGGGAUGAAGGCCUUCGGGUUGUAAACCUCUUUUCUCAGGGACGAUAAUGACGGUACCUGUGGAAUAAGCCACGGCUAACUACGUGCCAGCAGCCGCGGUAAUACGUAGGUGGCAAGCGUUGUCCGGAUUUACUGGGCGUAAAGAGCGCGCAGGCGGUCGGUCAAGUCGCGUGUGAAAGCCCCCGGCUCAACUGGGGAGGGUCACGCGAUACUGUUCGACUCGAAGGCAGGAGAGGGUAGUGGAAUUCCCGGUGUAGUGGUGAAAUGCGUAGAUAUCGGGAGGAACACCAGUGGCGAAGGCGACUACCUGGCCUGUUCUUGACGCUGAGGCGCGAAAGCUAGGGGAGCAAA